CCUACGGGGGGCAGCAGUGGGGAAUAUUGCACAAUGGGCGAAAGCCUGAUGCAGCGACGCCGCGUGAGGGAUGACGGCCUUCGGGUUGUAAACCUCUUUCAGUAGGGAAGAAGCGAAAGUGACGGUACCUGCAGAAGAAGCGCCGGCUAACUACGUGCCAGCAGCCGCGGUAAUACGUAGGGCGCAAGCGUUAUCCGGAUUUAUUGGGCGUAAAGAGCUCGUAGGCGGUUUGUCGCGUCUGCCGUGAAAGUCCGAGGCUCAACCUCGGAUCUGCGGUGGGUACGGGCAGACUAGAGUGAUGUAGGGGAGACUGGAAUUCCUGGUGUAGCGGUGAAAUGCGCAGAUAUCAGGAGGAACACCGAUGGCGAAGGCAGGUCUCUGGGCAUUUACUGACGCUGAGGAGCGAAAGCAUGGGGAGCGAACAGGAUUAGA
rnacentral:rRNA from 1 species